UUCCUUGUGGCCCAAUGGCAAGGCGUCCGCCUACGAUGUGCUAAUGUCAAAGCGGGAGAUUCCAGGUUCGACCCCUGGCAGGGAAG